rnacentral:rRNA from 1 species
AACGAACGCUGGCGGCAUGCCUAACACAUGCAAGUCGAACGAGACCUUCGGGUCUAGUGGCGCACGGGUGCGUAACGCGUGGGGACCUGCCCUUAGGUUCGGAAUAACUCCCCGAAAGGGGUGCCAAUACCGGAUAAUGUCUUCGGACCAAAGAUUUAUCGCCUUUGGAUGGGCCCGCGUUGGAUUAGCUAGUUGGUAGGGUAAAAGCCUACCAAGGCGACGAUCCAUAGCUGGUCUGAGAGGAUGAUCAGCCACACUGGGACUGAGACACGGCCCAGACUCCUACGGGAGGCAGCAGUGGGGAAUAUUGGACAAUGGGCGAAAGCCUGAUCCAGCAAUGCCGCGUGAGUGAUGAAGGCCUUAGGGUUGUAAAGCUCUUUUACCCGGGAUGAUAAUGACAGUACCGGGAGAAUAAGCUCCGGCUAACUCCGUG